UAAAAUGAUGAAGAUUUUAAUUUUCCGUUGGUCUAUUAAGAACAGAAGUACUUCAAAACUACUUUUUAAGACCAUCCUUUAACAAUGUUUCUUUUAAUAUUGUUAAACUUCUCAUUUACUUUGCGUCUUUAUGGUCUCAUCGUUCUGAUGGAUCGUAAUUUAGACACGAGGUAUACUUCAUUAAUUUGUUGGAGAAUAUUGGGAGUCUUUUAAUGUGAUGAGUGGCCAACACAACCUAUAGUCAUAGUUACACUGAUU
rnacentral:snoRNA from 20 species